AAAGACAUAACUCAAUCGGUAGAGUAGCAGAUUUCUCAUCUGUGGGUUGCGGGUUCGAGUCCCGCUGUC
rnacentral:tRNA from 1 species